ncrna:unclassified sequences dinG RNA
AAUGAUACUUUUGCAAGACAAUGCAGCUCGCUGAAAGGCGGGAUAAGUAUGUUAUGGGUUGGAAUGGAUACCCACUACGGCUUAU